AUAAAAUUGCUUCCUAAAAAAUCGACUUCUAUAAAUUCAACCUAAUUUCGUAGUAUAGACAUACCCUUUGUGUCUUAGAAUUUUCAACAGGACCUCGGAUAGAAGAGGAAAUGAUGGGAAAGGCAUACAAGAGGACCCUGUCCCAUGGGAGGAUGAGGGCAUCUCCCAGUGAAUGCUUCCUCAGGCCAACCCUGGAGCAGUAACAAGGACAUUUCUUGUUCUGCAGAGUAAAAAGGAAACAUGAACUAUUAAGGAGAACAAAAAAGAGACAAAAACAACUACUACUUAUGCUGAUGACGCAGAGCACAGGAAUUGCCAUUCUGGAUCUCACCAGUAGUCCAUUUAGCCAGUAUUCUGUUAUAGACAGUGUCCAGCACCAGAUGCUUCAGAGGAAGGUGCAAGAAACCCUUCAAUAGGCAGUUAUGGGAUAACUUGCCCUCAGAAUCUCCUUUUAACCCCCAAUAAUUAGAGAUUUGCUUGUGCCCUAAAGUAUGAGUGUUUAUUUUCCUUCCCAAAUUAUUGUUUAUUCUUUUAAUAUUUGCUGUAACAACUUUGAAUAUCCUUGUUAACCAUACACAGGUCAACUUUUUUUUUUAAUCCUAAGGUCUUGGCCUCAGUGCUUAAAUGUGCUACGGAGUCCCACAGGUUAAUUGUGUUGUGUGAAGAAUAAUAUCCUCUCAUCAGUUUUGAGUUUGCCAUCUUUCAAUAGCUCUCAGUUUUUGUGUUAUGAGAGUGAAUGGAAGGUCCCUGUCUACCCUCUCUAGAGCAUUUUAUCAUGUCUCCUUAUUCAUCUCCUGGGAUAACCUCAUUCUUUUCAAUCAUGAGUAUUUCCAUGCCUCUAAUAAUUUGCAUUGUCCAUCUCUGAACCCCCUCUUCUUAUGCUGUACCAUUUGUAGUUGGGAUGACUUGAAUUGAACACAGCAAACUAGGUGAAGCAUAUAAUUGAUUUAUAGAAUGAUAUAAAAUAUUUAUCAUUUUUUGAAAAUUUUCCUCAGACAUCCUAGUGUUUUGACUGCUGCUGCACAUUAAGCAGAGAUGUUCACAUUGAAGCUCAAAUGUUUUCCCUGAAUUAAUAGUUAAUUUAGAUCCUAGUAAAUUGUACAAGUAGUUCAGAUUAUUUCCUCUACUGUGCAUUACUUUGCAUAUCAUGAGGCAUCAUGUUGUCAAUUUACUUUGUGUGAUUAAGUCCAUCUGAAGUUCUUCAGUUUUGUCCAGUGUUGACCACUCAAGUAAUUUUGUGUCAUCUGCAGAUUUUGCUACUUCAUUGCUUUACCUCCUUUUCCAGAUAACCAAUAAAUAUAUUAUACAACACCGCUCCUAGUACAGAAUCCUCAGGAUACCCCAUUGUUAAUUUUUGCCAUGAUGAAAAUUUACUAUAUUCUAAUUCCCAGUGCCUGUUGCUCCCAGUCAGGGUUUAGCUGCUGGUCCACAAGAGGGUUUAAGUAGUCUUCCAUUCAAAGCUCUCUUCAGAUAUUUCAAUAGGUGGAUUCAGAGCUGCUGUUCUUACCACUGUGCCAGGUCCAAAGGAGGAAGCAAGUGCAAGCCCCUUGAAGGCACAAACCAGCAGUAUGACUGAAAAAGAACCUAUGAACUCCAAUAACAUUUUCCAUAUAGAAGACUGCAACUUGCCUGAUACCUAGCAGUGCACCUUCUAGGGACCAGAUUCAUUCCUGUGCUGGCAUGGGAACAGAGGGGAUGAGGCUUGCAGCUCUCCUAUUCAAGGACUGUGGGAGUGUGUGGGGCCCCAGUGCAGGCUAUGUCUAACUUGUGCCCCUAUUGCAAUGGUCACUAUGGACUACUGUAGAGAAACAGAUUCUGCCCUGGCCAUGCUCCUUCCUUACCUCUUCCCUGAACUUUGUGGAGGUGGAACAGAACUGGUGAACACAGCUCUGAAACAGGUGUAGGGACCCGUGCACCAGCAGGUAUUCCCCAGAGUAGUUUUGCCUAAAACACAACCCCUUUGCUACAGCCUCGCUGGUACAAAGGGGUCAGAGGGCCAAUGAGGAAUGUGGCCUCAGAUGUCCAAAUCUUAACAUUUUUGGUUUUCUGUGGAAAAGCCAUAGGAUCCAUGUGCUUUCUUUCAUCUCACUGAUUUUAGCAAAAACGUAUGCCGGAGCUCCCCAAAGCAAAGGCUGAGCUUGUUCGUGUUGAGGCACCUAGAAUAUCAAUCCAUGCUUUUCUGGCUGGGCUGCUUUCCCCUACUAUGUAAUAUCACCUCCAUAGCAAAGACAAUAUACAAUUGUUGUUUUGUGGUAGGGAAGAGAUUCCUCUGUAACUCACGGCUAAGGAGUGAACACACUGCAUGAAACACCCCAUCCAAAAGAUUGGAAAUAGAACCUCUCAUGCUGUUCUUCAACUUCUAAUUUCUUACAUACUAGGAUAAAGGAAUCCACAGUCCUCACUUUAGCGAGAGGAUUUUGGACAUUACCAGGCCUGUAGCUCACUUUCUCUUCAGAGGUUCAUUACUCUUACAGUAGACUACAGAAGGGCAGCAACUCUCUUCAUUCUCCCUCUUUCAUAAUAUCAAUAAGGUGAGGCCCUUAUUUUCUGUCUAUGUGUACCUGGAAGAGAAAAAAAAUAUAUAUUUACAUUUUAACCUUUCAAAGGAGCGCCUCAGUAGCCUGGUACAGCAUCCAGCUCAAGCUGAUAGCCCAGUCCUGCAAGGUAUUGAUCAUCUCACAUGAGAUCAGCAUGCCUUCAAUUGGGUACAUAAGCAAUCAUGUAACAUAGUAGGCAUUUACACCUGGGUUACAGAUUGUCUUUUAUCAUGGUGAAACAUGAUGCAGAAGACCAAGUGACUUCACCACCCUCUAAAGUUAAACACAAGGUCUUGUUUUCCUGUAUAUCCUGAUUUCUUGAAGUAUGUUAUUGCUUGUAUAGUAAUGUGAUUACUUUGGCUGGUCGGUGAGCGCAUAACCACACUUUCUUGGAACCCUUAGUGAACAGUCCUCCAUUUAUCUGACUCAUUUUAAAACAUUGUUUCAACUUCCCAGCAAUAUUUACAGAACUGUUAUUCUGAUCAAUAUAUGUUAUUUGUUUGGUGCCCAUUUACUUUGGCCUGAGAUCAAGGACCAAUGAAUCAGGGCUUCUGGGUUCUACUCUGGUUCUGCCUUUGCUACAUAACAUUGUACAAGUAAUUUUACCGUUCUGUGCCUCAGUUUCCCUAUAAUGUAAAAUGGGAAUAAUGAUGCAAGUCUCAUAGGUAGGGGGAACUGAUUUCAAUAUACAUCGUAGGGGAAAAUACACAAUAAAGUAUAUUGCAUACUAAUGAAGAAUAGUAAAAAUUGAUUUAAAACUAACUCAGAUACAAAUCUAAA